AUUUCUGAGAAGCACGAUGGGCCCCUGUCAGCCAUAACCGCAGCUGCUGAGGACAACAAGCUUGUGACAGAAGAGCAACCUAAACCCUCUGAUCCAGAAACCCAGCAGGACACAGACGAACACCACACCAAAGCUGAGGAAAAGGACACUGACCAGCAGGUCACAGAUAAUGCCCCCAGUCCAGAGUCGCACGAAAGACAACCGUCUGAGGUGGGUAUCCCUCCCCUCCCAGAGGCCCUCAGCACUGAGGUCAAGCAGGAGUCUGCAGAAAUGCCUGUUGAACAAAGCAAAGUGGAGGAGGAGAAAACGGAGGUGGAGCCGAGUGGGGAGGAGAGAAGUGCAACCCCCAAUCAAAUAGAAGAGGAAAAAGUGGACGAAGAUAAAGAAAAGGUCGCUAUUAAAGCGGUCGUUGAUGAAGCGGUCGUUGAUGAAGCGGUCGUUGAAGAAGCGGCCGUUGAUGAAGCGGUCGUUGAAGAAGCGGCCGUUGAUGAAGCGGUCGCUGAUGAAGCGGCCGUUGAUGAAGCGGCCGUUGAAGAAGCGGCCGUUGAAGAAGCGGCCGUUGAUGAAGCGGUCGCUGAUGAAGCGGACAUGACCGAAGCGUUGCACUCGACUCCCAGUCGAGUCCCCUCCGACUUGAAACCAGAAGAUCUGCCGAACAGACACAUCCCUCAAGAUGCAGAGAAGAUUGAUGGAGAGGAAACCGGUAAGUUGGAGUCGACACCACAGAGCGAAGAUCCCAAACCAGAGGAGACACCGGAAUCAAGUGAUCCUCCCCCUCAAAACCAGGAAAAGGUGGAAGACGGGCAACGCUCCACUGAGGCUGCUGAUAGCUCGGCACCAGCUGAAAGCUCAGGUCCAGGUGAUAGCUCGGCACUAGCAGACGGCUCAGGUCCAGGUGACAACUUGGCACUAGCAGACGGCUCAGGUCCAGGUGACAACUCGGCACCAGCAGACGGCUCAGGUCCAGGUGACAACUCGGCACCAGCAGACGGCUCGGCUCCGGCUGACAGCACAGGUCCAGGUGACAGCUCGGCGCUAGCCAAUGGCUCGGCUCUGGCUGAGAGUUUGGCCACAGGCAACAGUGGCGAGGGGACGGAGUCCAGCGAGAGAACUCAAGAAGAGGCUGACAUUUCUAUGGAUGUGGAGCAGGAAGAGAAGAAAGAAGAACAAGAAGCAGACCAGUAGUGAUCGUCUAACAAUCAAUCUUUUUUUUUUAAAUGUGUUGAUUAUUCCAUUGUAGAAUAUAUGUGUAGAUUGAUACGAAUACAAAAAGCAAUAAAGAAACUGUUAUUACCAACACAUGUAUUUAAUUAUCAUUCUUAUUUAUGUAUCUCUGUCCCAGUUAUUCCUGCAACACAUGCAAUAAUGCAGAUUACAACACUGAUUGACUCAUUAUAUUGUACAAGCUCUCCACAUUGAGGCCACGUGUGAUGUUUUGAAAGAAUGACUGUGCACAUUCCCUCCAGUGACCGUUGACCUGAAGGAGGAGGACCAACAGCGCUUGUGCAAAAUGACAGUUACGUAUUUCAUGUUUUACUCCGGUAUCAGCCGUGCAGACUGCAUGUCUGUGCCGCUUAUCACACGCAGCUGCGUCACAUCACGUCGUCUGAUAGAUAUCUCGGUGCCAAACAAAGCUGGGGUUUACUUUUUUGGGGGGAGGAACACCAGCUGUAGGUGGGAUUUAAACGCGCGUUGAUCCGCGGCGCGUUCACACAGCAGCAGCAGCCGCACCCCGUGGUGCUUUGACCGGGGCGGAGGGGAGAGACGGAGACGGAGAUGCAGCCGCAGACGGGAAUCAUCGGCAGCGCGGUGGCUGCAGGCUGCGGCCUCUUCGCAGCGACCAUGAACUUCUUCACCGACAUGUUUCUGACUCCACCGCUGAAGGCAACGCUCAGAAGUUUGGAGGAGGCUGAGCUGAAAACUUUGAAAGGAGGUAACUUGUUUAAGACGUUAUGUGAGGGUUUAUGAUUUCAUAAUCUGGUUUAAGGGGGGUGAAGC
ensembl:lncRNA